rnacentral:rRNA from 1 species
AUGGAGAGUUUGAUCCUGGCUCAGGACGAACGCUAGCGGGGGGCUUAACACAUGCAAGUCGAACGCGAACGUAGAUCUUCGGAUCUAUUAGUAGAGUGGCGAACGGGUGAGUAACACGUAGGUUACCUGCCCACCGGUGGGGGAUAACACCUCGAAAGAGGUGCUAAUACCGCAUGAUAUCUUUGGAUCAAAGGCUUCGGCCGCCGGUGGAUGGGCCUGCGCCCUGUUAGCUUGUUGGUGAGGUAACGGCUCACCAAGGCGACGAUGGGUAGCCGGUCUGAGAGGAUGAUCGGCCACACUGGGACUGAGAUACGGCCCAGACUCCUACGGGAGGCAGCAGUGAGGAAUAUUGCACAAUGGACGAAAGUCUGAUGCAGCCACCCCGCGUGUGGGAUGAAGUUCUUGCGAACGUAAACCACCGUUAGGGAAGACGAUAAUGACGGUAUUUCCAGCGAAAGCACCGGCUAACUCCGUGCCAGCAGCCGCGGUAAUACGGGGGGUGCAAGCGUUGUCCGGAAUCACUGGGCGUAAAGGGCGCGUAGGCGGGAUUACAAGUCUGGGGUGAAAGUUCGAGGCUCAACCUCGAAUCUGCCUUAGAAACUGUAGUUCUUGAGUUCGGUAGAGGGGUACGGAAUUCCUGGUGUAGCGGUGGAAUGCGUAGAUAUCAGGAAGAACACCGGUGGCGAAGGCGGUACCCUGGCCCGAUACUGACGCUGAGGCGCGAAAGCGUGGGGAGCGAACAGGAUUAGAUACCCUGGUAGUCCACGCCCUAAACGAUGAUCACUAGAUGCUGGGAGAUUCGACCCUUUCAGUGUCGUAGCUAACGCGUUAAGUGAUCCGCCUGGGGAGUACGGCCGCAAGGUUGAAACUCAAAGGAAUUGACGGGGGCCCGCACAAGCGGUGGAGCAUGUGGUUUAAUUCGAUGCAACGCGAAGAACCUUACCUGGGCUUGAACUGUGCCGGAAAACUUCUGAAAGGGAGUCCUCCUUCGGGACCUGUACAGAGGUGCUGCAUGGCUGUCGUCAGCUCGUGUCGUGAGAUGUUGGGUUAAGUCCCGCAACGAGCGCAACCCCUAUCGUCAGUUGCCAUCAGGUUAUGCUGGGCACUCUGGCGAGACUGCCCGCGUUAAGCGGGAGGAAGGUGGGGAUGACGUCAAGUCCUCAUGGCCCUUACGUCCAGGGCUACACACGUGCUACAAUGGGUGGUACAAAGGGUCGCCAAGCCGCGAGGCUGAGCCAAUCCCAUAAAACCAUCCUCAGUUCGGAUUGCACUCUGCAACUCGAGUGCAUGAAGCCGGAAUCGCUAGUAAACGUGGAUCAGCACGCCACGUUGAAUACGUUCCCGGGCCUUGUACACACCGCCCGUCACACCAUGGAAGUCGGGAGUACCCGAAGCCGGUCCAUCAAUAGGGCUGUCGAAGGUAAGCUCGAUGACUAGGGUGAAGUCGUAACAAGGUAGCCGUACGGGAACGUGCGGCUGGAUCACCUCCUU